UACGAAGGGGGCUAGCGUUGUUCGGAAUUAUUGGGCGUAAAGAGCGCGCAGGCGGUCGUUCAAGUCGAGUGUGAAAGCCCCCGGCUCAACUGGGGAGGGUCAUUCGAUACUGAUCGACUCGAAGGCAGGAGAGGGAAGUGGAAUUCCCGGUGUAGUGGUGAAAUGCGUAGAUAUCGGGAGGAACACCAGUGGCGAAGGCGACUUCCUGGCCUGUUCUUGACGCUGAGGCGCGAAAGCUAGGGGAGCAAACGGG
rnacentral:rRNA from 1 species